CGUCGAGCUACUACGGUAGUGAAGUCAUUGAUGCCAUGCUUCCAGGAAAAGCCUCUAAGCUUCAGAUUGUAAGGAAUCGUACCCCAAACCGACACAGGUGGUCGGGUAGAGAAUACCAAGGCGCUUGAGAGAACUCGGGUGAAGGAACUAGGCAAAAUGGUACCGUAACUUCGGGAGAAGGUACGCUCUUGAUGGUGAAGUCCCUUGCGGAUGGAGCUGACGAGAGUCGCAGAUACCAGGUGGCUGCAACUGUUUAUUAAAAACACAGCACUGUGCAAAAUCGUAAGAUGACGUAUACGGUGUGACGCCUGCCCGGUGCCGGAAGGUUAAUUGAUGGGGUUAGCGUAAGCGAAGCUCUUGAUCGAAGCCCCGGUAAACGGCGGCCGUAACUAUAACGGUCCUAAGGUAGCGAAAUUCCUUGUCGGGUAAGUUCCGACCUGCACGAAUGGCGUAAUGAUGGCCACGCUGUCUCCACCCGAGACUCAGUGAAAUUGAAAUCGCUGUGAAGAUGCAGUGUACCCGCGGCUAGACGGAAAGACCCCGUGAACCUUUACUACAGCUUGGCACUGAACAUUGAACCUACAUGUGUAGGAUAGGUGGGAGGCUUUGAAGACGUGACGCCAGUUGCGUUGGAGCCGUCCUUGAAAUACCACCCUUGUAUGUUUGAUGUUCUAACGUUGGCCCCUAAUCGGGGUUGCGGACAGUGCCUGGUGGGUAGUUUGACUGGGGCGGUCUCCUCCCAAAGAGUAACGGAGGAGCACGAAGGUGGGCUAAUCACGGUUGGACAUCGUGAGGUUAGUGCAAUGGCAUAAGCCCGCUUAACUGCGAGAAUGACGGUUCGAGCAGGUGCGAAAGCAGGUCAUAGUGAUCCGGUGGUUCUGAAUGGAAGGGCCAUCGCUCAACGGAUAAAAGGUACUCCGGGGAUAACAGGCUGAUACCGCCCAAGAGUUCAUAUCGACGGCGGUGUUUGGCACCUCGAUGUCGGCUCAUCACAUCCUGGGGCUGAAGUCGGUCCCAAGGGUAUGGCUGUUCGCCAUUUAAAGUGGUACGCGAGCUGGGUUUAGAACGUCGUGAGACAGUUCGGUCCCUAUCUGCCGUGGGCGUUGGAAGAUUGAAGGGGGCUGCUCCUAGUACGAGAGGACCGGAGUGGACGAACCUCUGGUGUUCGGGUUGUGUCGCCAGACGCAUUGCCCGGUAGCUAAGUUCGGAAUCGAUAACCGCUGAAAGCAUCUAAGCGGGAAGCGAGCCCUGAGAUGAGUCUUCCCUGAUACUUUAAGUAUCCUAAAGGGUUGUUCGAGACUAG
rnacentral:rRNA from 1 species